rnacentral:rRNA from 1 species
UACGUAGGGGGCAAGCGUUGUCCGGAUUUAUUGGGCGUAAAGAGCGUGUAGGCGGCCUGAAAGGUCAGCUGUGAAAACUCGAGGCUCAACCUCGAGACGUCGGUUGAAACCAUCUGGCUAGAGUCCGGAAGAGGAGAGUGGAAUUCCCGGUGUAGCGGUGAAAUGCGCAGAUAUCGGGAAGAACACCCGUGGCGAAGGCGGCUCUCUGGGACGGUACUGACGCUGAGACGCGAAAGCGUGGGGAGCGAACGGG